rnacentral:lncRNA from 1 species
GAAAUGUGGAGAACCAUCCCAGCACACGUACUCCUGUGUGGCAAGCACGUACCCUGGUUCACAUGCUGGGAUCUGCAGCCAGCAGCCUAGACCUGGCCCGGCCCAGAGCCCACCCCAGAGCAGGCACUCGCAUAUUUGCUGGUUGAGUGAGUUCAUUAGUCAUGCAGUCAUAGUCUGAGAGAGGCACAUGACAGAUGUGCAAUUAUUAAACAGAAACGGAAUGCCAAGCUGGAUGGCGCUCACUGGAAACAGAGGUGGAAUCAGAGGAAGGAGAGGGCUCGAGUGGAUGACGGCGCUGGAGAGGUUGUCAGCAAGGGAGACUCCAGGCUGGAGGCGGAAGCCAAGCGGAGUCUGUCCCCAGACCCUGACCAACAAACCAGAAGCCUGGAGCCCCUCCUGCUGAGAGCGGCGGCCCCAGAAUGAGGAUGGGUCCCUGCACAGCACCCCCUUGUGGUCGCAGAGGCAGCACGGUGGUCGCAGACGCAGCAGGGUGCUCACCUGCACCCCCGUAUCUUCACCCCACCCUCCUAGGAAGACUGGCGGCUCCUCUGUGAGCCUCACCUGGUUGAACAGCAGCAUUACCUGCCCAGAGAGCUAAGCCAAAGAUCUCAGUCCCCUCGAUUCCUUCCUCAACCACCCAGCAUNUGCCCAGAGAGCUAAGCCAAAGAUCUCACAGUCCCCUCGAUUCCUUCCUCAACCACCCAGCAUACAUACCAUCUCCGUGGCCUACUGCAAUUCAGGUUUUCGCACUGUCAGCUAGGACAAAGGAGUCAACUCUAUCUAGUUCUUUCAAAUAAAGGAGAUUUAAUGUAUGGAAC